GACGAACCGUGCAAACGUUGUUCGGAAUCACUGGGCUUAAAGGGCGCGUAGGCGGUUCGCUAAGUCGGUGGUGAAAUACUUCGGCUCAACCGGAGAAUUGCCGCUGAAACUAGCGGGCUGGAGGGAGGUAGAGGUGCAUGGAACUUCCGGUGGAGCGGUGAAAUGCGUUGAUAUCGGAAGGAACGCCGGUGGCGAAAGCGGUGCACUGGACCUCUUCUGACGCUGAGGCGCGAAAGCUAGGGGAGCGAACGGG
rnacentral:rRNA from 1 species